AGCGAACGCUGGCGGCAGGCUUAACACAUGCAAGUCGAGCGGGCAUCCUUGUGGUGUCAGCGGCAGACGGGUGAGUAACGCGUGGGAACGUGCCCUUCGGUUCGGAAUAACUCAGGGAAACUUGAGCUAAUACCGGAUACGUGCGAGAGCAGAAAGGUUUAUCUGCCGAAGGAUCGGCCCGCGUCUGAUUAGCUAGUUGGUGAGGUUAUGGCUCACCAAGGCGACGAUCAGUAGCUGGUCUGAGAGGAUGAUCAGCCACACUGGGACUGAGACACGGCCCAGACUCCUACGGGAGGCAGCAGUGGGGAAUAUUGGACAAUGGGGGCAACCCUGAUCCAGCCAUGCCGCGUGAGUGAUGACGGCCUUAGGGUUGUAAAGCUCUUUUCUCCGGGACGAUAAUGACGGUACCGGAGGAAUAAGCCCCGACUAACUUCGUG
rnacentral:rRNA from 1 species